rfam:Dipodomys ordii contig_11751, whole genome shotgun sequence.
GGUGGCUCAGUGGUAGAGCACUUGCCUUGCAUGCAUGAAGCCCUGGGUUCGAUUCCUCAGUACCA